UAAGGAAUAUUGCUCAAUGGCCGAAAGGCUGAAGCAGCAACGCCGCGUGGAGGAUGAAAUACUUUUGUAUGUAAACUCCUGUGAGAAGGGAAAAAUAUGCAGAUUUUCUGCGUUGAUUGUACCUUCAGAGGAAGCCCCGGCUAACUACGUGCCAGCAGCCGCGGUAAUACGUAGGGGGCGAGAGUCGUCCGGAUUUACUGGGUGUAAAGGGUGCUCAGGUGGAUUUGUAAGUCAGAGGUGAAAUCCCAAA
rnacentral:rRNA from 1 species